AAAUCCGUACAAUGUGAAUGUAGACGAGAAUAUGAGUUAACUUAU
rnacentral:guide_RNA from 1 species